AAAUAAAUUCUGACAAUUGUUCAUCACCACCAAUAUUUGAAAAUUACAAUGAAUCUCAUAAUGAAGGUAUGUGUUACAUAUUUCAUCAUCACCCGGAGCCGUGGAUUUGUCUCAUACUAUAAUACAUUUAUUACAACAGCAAAUGUUGUUAGUCCAACAAAUUGUACGAGGUCAACCGAUAACCAAUAAGUUAUUAACAAAAUUAAUCAUGAGCAAUGGAGAAUCUAACCACAAUCAACAUUCAGACGAAAAUGUGUAUUUAACAAUCAAUAUUUGCGAUGAGGUAACGCUGCAAAUCUACCCGAUACCAAUGAAUUUUGGCACUUUCUAAUAAAGCUUUUGCAUCCGCUUACAUGUGAACAGAGACUAGUAGAAUAAUGUUGAAUCAUUUUAAGAUGUUUAUUGGAUUUUUCAAAAAAAGAGCAUAGAUAUCAAUGCUUCUUUUAAUUUAUCUUUUCAAUGUUUAAAUACUAAUGAAUUUUGGGACUUUCUAAUAAAGCUUUUGCAUAGUCUUACAUGUGCAGAAAGACUUGUGAAAUUAUGGUGAAUAAUUUUAAGAAGUUUAUUGGGUUUGUCAAUAAAAGAGCUUAGAAAUCAAUACUGAUUUUGAUUUAUUUUUUCAAUGUUUAAAUACUAAUGAAUUUUGGGACUUUCUAAUAAAGCUUUUGCAUAGGCUUACAUGUGAAGAAAGACUAGUGGAAUAAUGUUGAAUAACUUUCAGAUGUUUAUUGGUUUUGUCAAAAAAAGAGCAUAGAAAUCAAUACUUAUUUUGAUUUAUGUUUUCAAUGUUUAAAUACCAAUGAAUUUUGGGACUUUCUAGUAAAGCUUUUGCAUAGUCUUACAUGUGAAGAAAGACUAGUGGAAUAAUGGUGAAUAACAUUGAGAUGUUUAUUGGUUUUGUCAAAAAAAGAGCAUCGAAAUCAAUAGUUAUUUUGAUUUAU